rnacentral:rRNA from 1 species
GACGAACGCUGGCGGCGUGCUUAACACAUGCAAGUCGAACGGAAAGGCCCUGCUUGCAGGGUACUCGAGUGGCGAACGGGUGAGUAACACGUGGGUGAUCUGCCCUGCACUUCGGGAUAAGCCUGGGAAACUGGGUCUAAUACCGGAUAGGAGCCAUUUUUAGGGUGAUGGUGGGAAAGUUUUUUCGGUGUAGGAUGAGCUCGCGGCCUAUCAGCUUGUUGGUGGGGUAAUGGCCUACCAAGGCGGCGACGGGUAGCCGGCCUGAGAGGGUGGACGGCCACAUUGGGACUGAGAUACGGCCCAGACUCCUACGGGAGGCAGCAGUGGGGAAUAUUGCACAAUGGGCGCCAGCCUGAUGCAGCGACGCCGCGUGGGGGAUGACGGCCUUCGGGUUGUAAACUCCUUUCGCUAGGGACGAAGCUUUUUGUGACGGUACCUAGAUAAGAAGCACCGGCUAACUACGUG